rnacentral:rRNA from 1 species
AUUGAACGCUGGCGGCAGGCUUAACACAUGCAAGUCGAACGAGCGGCGGACGGGUGAGUAAUAUCUGGGAACCUGCCUGCUGGUGGGGGAUAACUACUGGAAACGGUAGCUAAUACCGCAUACCAUCGGAUGUGCCCCGAUGGGAUUGGCUAGUAGGUUGGGUAAUGGCUCACCUAGGCGACGAUCCCUAGCUGGUCUGAGAGGAGGAACAGCCACACUGGAACUGAGACACGGUCCAGACGCAUACGGGAGGGAGCAGUGGGGAAUAUUGUACAAUGGGCGCAAGCCUGAUGCAGCCAUGCCGCGUGUAUGAAGAAGGCCUUCGGGUUGUAAAGUACUUUCAGCGGGGAGGCGUUACUCGCAGAAGAAGCACCGGCUAACUCCGUGCCAGCAGCCGCGGUAAUUC